CUCAUUAUAACAGCUAUAAUUUACUUGAUCUUGACACAAUCCUACUUGGAUAACUGUGGUAAUUCUAGAGCUAAUACAUGCAUUAAAGCUCCGACCUCACGGGAAGAGUGCAUUUAUUAGAACAAAACCAAGCGGCUUCGGCUGUUUCUGGUUGACUCAUAGUAACUGAGCUGAUCGCAUGGUCUUGCACCGGCGACGUGUCUUUCAAGUAUCUGCCGUAUCAACUUUCGAUGGUAGUGUAUCUGACUACCAUGGUGAUCACGCGUAACGGAGAAUAAGGGUUCGGCUCCGGAGAGUUCGCCUGAGAAAUCGCGAACACAUCUAAGGAAGGCAGCAGGCGCGAAAAUUACCCACUCUCAGCACGAGGAGGUAGUGACGAAAAAUAACGAGACCGUUCUCUCAUGAGGCCGGUCAUCGGAAUGGGUACAAUUUAAACCCUUUAACGAGUAUCUAUGAGAGGGCAAGUCUGGUGCCAGCAGCCGCGGUAAUUCCAGCUCUCAAAGUGCAUAGAAUUAUUGCUGCGGUUAAAAAGCUCGUAGUUGGAUCUGUGCCAUAGGACUGGGUCCACCUUCGGGUGCGUACUCAGCUCCUAGGCUUUUUGCUGGUUUUCCCGUCGUAGCCUUCACUGGUUGCGGCGGGUGGCUGGCGAGUUUACUUUGAGAAAAUCAGAGUGCUCAAUACAGGCGUAUCGCUUGAAUGAUUGUGCAUGGAAUAAUAGAAAAGGAUUUCGGUCCUCUUUUAUUGGUUUUGUGGACUGAGAUAAUGGUUAACAGGGACAAACGGGGGCAUUCGUAUCGCUGCGUGAGAGGUGAAAUUCUUGGACCGUAGCGAGACGCCCUACUGCGAAAGCAUUUGC
rnacentral:rRNA from 1 species